rnacentral:rRNA from 1 species
UACAGAGGGGGCAAGCGUUGUUCGGAUUUACUGGGCGUAAAGGGCGCGCAGGCGGCUCAUUUUGUCAGGCGUGAAAGCCCCGGGCUUAACCUGGGAGGUGCGUUUGAUACGGAUGGACUAGAGUUCGGGAGAGGAGAGUGGAAUUCCCAGUGUAGAGGUGAAAUUCGUAGAUAUUGGGAAGAACACCGGUGGCGAAGGCGGCUCUCUGGACCGAGACUGACGCUGAGGCGCGAAAGCGUGGGGAGCAAACAGG